rnacentral:rRNA from 1 species
GACGUAGGGCGCAAGCGUUGUCCGGAUUUAUUGGGCGUAAAGAGCUCGUAGGCGGCUCGUUGCGUCGGCUGUGAAAACCCGCAGCUCAACUGUGGGCUUGCAGCCGAUACGGGCGGGCUGGAGUUCGGUAGGGGAGACUGGAAUUCCUGGUGUAGCGGUGAAAUGCGCAGAUAUCAGGAGGAACACCGGUAGCGAAGGCGGGUCUCUGGGCCGAUACUGACGCUGAGGAGCGAAAGCGUGGGGAGCGAACAGG